rnacentral:lncRNA from 1 species
CUACUCCCAUCCAACCAAGCACCCUCCAAACUCAAGAACCUGCGGAGAGGAAAAGCGUAUGAGCAAGCAAACUGCUUCAACCAAGUUAUUUAAAUCACAAUAUAUUACGCAAUAAUUUAAGAAUCAAUAUUAUGAAAGAAGCACCACACAUCUUCGAGUAGUAAGAUAAAUAAAUACUUCACAACAAUACUUCAUAAUGAUAUUGAAUGGUACAAUGCAAUGCAAUGCAAUGUAUGAAUUCACUUCUACCCACACAUCCCCAAAGAAGAAGGUGAGGGCUACAACCACAUUGCUAUAUCUCAACGUGCUAUGCCAAGUACUAUUGAAAAGGGUGGAGAACUUGAUGCUACAAUUUCUAAUGUAAUUCUUGGUCACAGAACCUCCACUUGUAGCUAGUUCGGUAGGCCUUGAGCACAUUAUUGCCAAACUUUAGUAACAUCUUCUAUAAGACAAUUCACCACUCAUAACUUUGAUCACAAAAGACCAACCACCACAAAGAGAUCAAAACUACACUAUAAUAAAGCAUGAGUGCAAAACAUCUGCAAAACCCACCAAUCACUACAUGCACCAAGCUCUAGGGAGAUUUUCUUCAAAACUCAAGUCUUGACUUCUUGGAAAACAUGGCUGAAUGAUCAAACUUCCUUCACACUUUUCCAAAACCGAAAUCAACUACAAAUCUCAAAGUACUCCAUGGGAUAGUAGUAGAGAGAUGCCAAAAGCUCAGCAUCAUCUAGGUAAUAAGAAAUAGGAAUAUAUUCACAAGGACUCCUAUUGAUCGACAAUUGCAAAGGAAGGGAAGGAUCCUAGUUUAGUAACCAUGGAGAGUAACAAUCGUUGCACCACAUUAGCACCUCCAGCAUCUAAGCCAUGAUGCGUUAGACCUUCUGCCAACUGAAGCUCAGUCAAAGGAGACGAAAAAACAUUAUGUCAUCUUUCACUAGCUCAGUAGACUUAGAUUGACAUAGAACUGCAUCCAAACGCCAUUUGUUGUUGACUUAAAGUAAGCUCUAUACGGUGCUCAACACUAAGGCUAAGUGAAUUAACUUCAUAUGUCUCCAAAUAAAGCAACAUCAUGCUAAACAUGGCAGGCUUGCCAAAGAUUAAUCUCUCAACAUUGAAUUUGUCCUUUGGGAACGAACCUAUAAAAACUUCAAGCUUUAGUGCUCACAAACGGAUCAUGACACCGUAUUCAAUUGAUCACAUCCCAUUUGUAUUUCCCAAAUGCUCCAUGUCACUAUAACUCAGUAUGAGUAUCGAACUUCCGUUGUUGAACACAAUGGACCACUCCGCUAUGAAAAAAAUAAAAUGUAAACCAUAAUUUCAUAUUUAUCUUGUUAGUAUGAGGUACUGAAAUUAAAUGGAGGCAAUUCAUCAAACAACAAAGCUAAAGCAUCUAGACCACAUCGCUAGUUUACUUGCCUUCACCGAAGACCAAGAACAUGAGCUAAGCACGAUCCGAAGGCGCACCACCUGUUCACAAACAUAACUCAGCACUAACACAAACACACAAGCAUAAACAAACAUAAUUCAAAGUGUUCCUACCCUGAACCCGACAACCUCACAAAACCACACGCAAAACUAGACAUGACAGCAAUAUUGUUGCUUCUCUUUUUUGUAUCUUUUAAUUGUGAUGGCUAAAAAUUCUCAUCUUGUGCCAUCUGAAAGAUAACUUCAGAAAUUACAACUUUCUAGUGAUCCAUAAAUAGAGAAAAAAUCAUCAACAUAGGCUAAUCUGGAGAUGAACCUCAUACUGAAAAUCUGACAACAACUGCAGAAUGGUUCUAGUAAAAUAUGUAUAUUUGGAGCUCCAAAAUUCAUAUGAAAAUGCACUUAACCAAUCUGAAAACCUUAUAAAAUUGUCUAAAUCUUCUCGAACCACUAAAAAGUCCAAUUCAAUCGCUAGGUUUGCCUAACCUUCAAGAGAACAGAUUCUGCGCAUAGUUAAGAGUCUGAAAAACAGUCAGAAUCAAAACUUUGAUAUCUCCCUGGUCUUAACUCCGAUUGUAGUGUUCUUUGAGGCUAUGAAAAGCUAUGAAAAUAUUCUACAGCUCAUGAAUAGGUUUAUUAUUUUUUGAAUCCAUUAAGAGGACUCAAAACAGACAUUAGUGAAAACUGCGCAUAUUGACUACGUGCUAAAAACAGUGACGAGGGCAAAACUAUACCCUAGCCCUUAACGGUGUCGAGUACCACUACACGCACGUGCUAGAACAUCUGAAAUCUUAGGGAAAACAUGGAUUACAGUGGGCGCAUGCCUCACCUAGGGUUUCCCCUUCAAAACAGCAAGAGCAACGGCGACAGAGGCGAUCCCAACGAUGACUCCUGGUCAUUUUCCUCUCCCUAGCGACGAACGACACAGCAGCCCUGCCGAUUGCACCUAAAUUGCAACCCAAAUGGCGGCACCACCAUGAACAGCGAGGAAAGGAAAAUCGAUUGGGGAAACAGAGAGAGAAAAGGAAGUCCAACCAAUUUUUGAAGAGGAACGACGACAACGGGCGACGGCGGCGUACCCUAAUCUCUCCCUUCUCCCUUCUCUUAUUCUCCCUCUCUCCCCUUUGGAUCACGAGCAGAAGGGGAGUGGCGGCGCAAGGGUAGAAGAUGUGGGGGUAUAGGGUUUAGAAAGGAUAGGUGGGCCGGCCAAGGGAAAUUAGAAACUCCAAAC